rnacentral:rRNA from 1 species
GACGAACGCUGGCGGCGUGCUUAACACAUGCAAGUCGUACGGUAAGGCCCUUUCGGGGGUACACGAGUGGCGAACGGGUGCGUAACACGUGAGUAACCUGCCCACAACUUUGGGAUAACGCUAGGAAACUGGUGCUAAUACUGGAUAUGUGCUCCUGCGGCAUGGUGGGGGUUGGAAAGCUCCGGCGGUUGUGGAUGGACUCGCGGCCUAUCAGCUUGUUGGUGGGGUAGUGGCCUACCAAGGCGGCGACGGGUAGCCGGCCUGAGAGGGUGACCGGCCACAUUGGGACUGAGAUACGGCCCAGACUCCUACGGGAGGCAGCAGUGGGGAAUAUUGCACAAUGGGCGCAAGCCUGAUGCAGCAACGCCGCGUGCGGGAUGACGGCCUUCGGGUUGGAAACCGCUUUCAGCAGGGACGAAGCUUUUUGUGACGGUACCUGCAGAAGAAGCACCGGCUAACUACGUG